rnacentral:rRNA from 1 species
CACAGACAACCAGGAUGUUGGCUUAGAAGCAGCCACUCAUUCAAAGAGUGCGUAAUAGCUCACUGGUCGAGUGAUCCUGCGCCGAAGAUUUCCGGGGCUAAAACUUACUACCGAAGCUACGGCAUCAGUAAUGAUGGGUAGGGGAGCUUCCCAUACGGGUUGAAGCAUGACCGUAAGGACAUGUGGACAGUAUGGGAGUGAGAAUGUUGGCAUGAGUAGCGAGAUGUGGGUGAGAAUCCCACAGGCCGUAAACCCAAGGUUUCCAGGGGAAGGUUCGUCCGCCCUGGGUUAGUCGGGACCUAAGCUGAGGCCGAAAGGCGUAGGUGAUGGACAACAGGUGGAUAUUCCUGUACUACCGAUAACCGUUUGAGAGAUGGGAUGACACAGUAGGAUAAGCUAAGCACACUGUUGGUUAUGUGUGCCCAAGCAUUGAGGCAGUCAAAGUAGGCAAAUCCGCUUUGAUAAUGCUGGGAUGUGAUGGGGAGCGAAAUUUAGUAGCGAA